GUUUUCCUAGUUUCCUUAUUUAAACGGAAAUCGACAGUGCGAAUUUCAGUUCCCACACCCACCAUCUUCUGCUUCUAAAUAUGUGAAAACAACAUAAAACCAGAAAAUAGUAUAUACAAUAAGUAGAAUGGAAUAAACUCACAUGUGUUACGUCCCACUUGUAUACCUUAUCUUUUCCUCGGGACAAAAUGUGGAGGUUACGUGAACACGCGAUGAACGGUGGAAGAAGCCAUCCAUGAACCAGCCCACCUAUGUCGGUUCCUCUUACAGAUAGAAUAAUUAUUUUCAUCGUCUACCAUCUUUCGAUAAAUAAUGUGUUAUAUUGUACUAUUCUAUUUAUAGAAACAAUAUAUUUUGUUACAACAUAUCUUCUCCUAUCUCCUCUACCUCAUCCUCUCUCAUCCGCUUCUUCCUCCCUAUUCUCUCCUCUUCCUCUUCCUCUUCCUCUUCCUCUUCCUCUUCCUCCUCCCCUCCCCUACUCCCUCCUUUAACCCCUUUCUCCCCUCUCCUCAUCUCUCCUCUCCUCUCCCUUCCUCCUCCUAUCUCUUCUGUGUAAGAUGUUCUAUUAUAUUCUAUAACCACAAUUAAUAGUAUAUUAGUCUCAUCUUUCUUCAUCUUCCUUCCUCUCUCUUUUCUAACUAAUUGAUAUACCAUAGAUUUUACCCACUUUCAGCCAUGUUAUAUAUAUGUUUUAAGAUAUAAUUAUUAUGUUAUGGAGUAUUGUUAGAGUAUUUACAGGUUCAGGUACGUUCUGGAGAAAUAUGGUGAUUUUGGAGCCUUUUGAGUGCAGAGCUGCACAGACGCGUCAGAUGUUUAUCUAUGAAUGGAGACCUUUUCAUCGUUAGAUUGAGCCCAUCGUUUAACACAAGAUAGAGCUUUUGAGUUAACUUUCCAAUGCCGCCAGUUUGAGUUUAAUAAGCAUCUUGUAGGAGACGUUAUGCCCGUUUUACUGAAGAGUUGUCAGUCUGCCUCGCGAGAGGAAGCUGUCGAGGAGAUGCAUGAUUGUCGAUCGAUGAAACAGCAUUGCCAUCGAUCGACAGUGAUGGCCAAUCAUAUUUCAAGACCGAUUGAAGCUCAGAAGCCACACAAAGUUACCAAAAUACCCAUGGACGACCAGAAACCCUAUUUAUGUAUUUCUAAGCCAUUGUUGACGGCAACAAGCUUUUUAUUAUCCUAUUCUAUUGUUUUCUCUUAGGUUUGUAGAGAAGAUCAAUUCUCCUUCAAAGAUUGAUUGGAACUCCAUUGGUGUUAUCAUUGAUUUCUUAUCUAUUAUAUUAUUUAGACUAUGAUUUGUGUUAUUGAUUCUAUGUAUGGGUAAUCAUCUUGUUAGGUUUUGGAAUUUCAUGAGCUUUAUGUCAAACUGAUAAUAAAUUAGGAUUGCUAGAUUAUCUAUAGAUCUCUACACCAGGAUGAUUUGUAAUACUAGGAUCUGGAAUAGUUAUAAUAGCACGACAGUGUGACUAAUUGUUUGAACCUAGAAUCAUAGGAUAUUUGAGAGGCACGAAAGUGCAAUCAAUUAACGGAACCCGAACUCUGCUGGAUUAGAUACAUAGGCGCAUACGAGAGUUGGUCUAGGAAUCCAGUUGAACUAAAUCGAUUAGGUCGUUAAUGCUUGUCUAAGGAAGCAUCGGUCGACGUUCAGGCCAUAGCAUCGAUCGAUGCUCAAUCCAAGUCAAUAAGCGACAGCUGAGACUGGACUUAGAUAUCUGAUUAGUAAUUAUGUGCGAAAGCUAGAUUACUUACUUAUUAAAAUCGAGUUCUAGAAUUGAAUCUAUAAACCAUUAGCAUCCUUGAAUUGUAGUAAAAUCACUCCUUAGGGUAAUUUGAGUGAUAUCACUAAUGUUAUAUGAAUCGAGUUUUUAUACUAUUUAUUUAAUAAAUAUAGUAAAAUGCAUUCAUUAUGCAUAACACGUCAAAUUCACGUAACGAGCGAUGAAAGAAUUUUAUGUCUAUUUUUUAAGAAAAUUAACACAGUUCCCAAUAAAAUCCGUACAUGGUGAGAUACUUAAUUUCACCUCUUUGUGUACAUAUCACUAAUUCAACCAUAUAAAAUUUAUAUAUAAAUAUACUAAUAUAUUUUAAUAAAUCAUUUCUUCUGUUCGAUCGGUUUUUAUAAUGAACCAUAUCCAUACAUUGUGGUUUUUUAUUAUUUGAAUUCACCAAAUUCAAACCAAUAUCUCUAUUUCGGUUCAGUGUUAUUUUAUUUUAAUUGGUUCGGUUUUACUAGAUUUAACAGCCCUAAACAUUAAAAGUCAACAUAUGGUCAUGAUAUUCAUAUGAUGUCAAAUAAUAUAUGAUGGAAAAAAUUUAUAUUCUAUUUAUUAAGAAAUAUAAUGAUACUGACAUUAGAUACAAAAGAUAUAUCUAAUUCCCUAUCGAAUCUAGGUCACCUUUCUUUUCUCGCUUCUUCAUUUUCUUUCUUUUGAUUGUUGAAUUAGGGUUUUGAGAAUUUGUAGAUCACUAUAAAAUAGUCAGGGGGUCGAUAAAGCAUGGACAAGAUAUUUAAGCUUAAUUUAUAGAGAUAAAGUGAGAUUCUCUUGGUAAGUGUUCUUGAGUUAGAAGUUUGGCGUAUCAAGAGGUGGAGAGACAGAAGCAAAGGUAGCUUAGGAAUCUUUCGGUGGCGAUUGUCAGGGUGUUAACAAGUUUUGUAAUAUUUAUUAAGUAAAGUUUGUAAAGAUUGUUUAAAGUUAUUUCUAAUAUAGCAAAAGUUGUUUGCUAAUUCGAUUGUUUCUUGAUAUAUCUGAUGCAUUACUUUAUUUUGUUGCAUUUUGCACUUACAUUUGGUAUCUGAGUAGGUCACCAAAAUAUAAUAAUAUUGACAUAAGAUAUGUCUUAUUAUGUAUCAAAUUUGGGUUGCUUUUAUUUUCUCCGGUUCUUCACUUUCUUUCUUUCAAUCAUUGGACGUGUAAAUCACUAUAGAAUAGUCAAGGGGUCGAUGAAGCAUGAACAACAUUUAAGCUUGAUUUUGUAGAUGCUGAGUGAGAAUCUUGGUAAGUGUUAUUGAGUUAAAAGUUGACGUAUCAGGAGGCAGAAGCUAAGGUAGCUUAGGAAUCUUUAAGUAGCGAUUAUUAGGAUGUUAACAAUUCAUGUAUUACUGAUUAAGUAAGGUUUGAAAAGAUUGAUUAAAGUGAUUUCUAAUAUAACAACAUGUGUUUGCUAAUCCGAUUGUCUCUUGAUUUAUCUUAUGCAUUAUUUUACUUUGUUUCAUUAUGCACUUACAAGUGGUAUAUGAGAGGGUCGCCGACAUCAGUGGUAAGAUCUGAAGGUGAAGAUGAACAUCAUUGUUUUUAUGCAGAAGACAAUCAUGUUGAAUGAUGGGCAUUAUGGUCACUGGAAAACUCGCAUGAAACAGUUGAUUCGAGGAAUCAAUGAGGAUGUGUAGACCACUUUGGAGAUUGGAUGAGAGGAGCCUACCAUAGUCACAACAGAUGGGAAUGAGCCCAACCCUAACAAGACUUGUAAUGAAGCAUAACAAAGUGUGUCAAGAUAAAGAGGUGUGGGAGAUCUUACUAAACUUGUAUGAAGGAGAUGACUGUGUCAAGAGGAAACACAUGGAUGAUCUCAUGUCGCAGUUUAAGAAUCUUAGGUGGACUGGUGAUGAUAUUGUGGAAAGAUUUAAUGUCAAACAAAGUGCUAUAACGCAUAAAGCAUUUGUUCUUGGAAAGAAGUAAAAGAAGAAGUUGGUGAAGAAGGUUCUCAGAUGUCUUCCAACAAAUUUUGUAGAUCAUAAGGAGGGUUUGAAGAUGGCUAUAAACAUGAAUAACUCAAGUUUGAUAUAUUUAUUGGUCUUUUGAAGGCAUAAACAAACAGAGACAGCCGGUAGCUCAGUCUCUACAUUAGGGAGUGUUCGAGGAUUAUGACACUCGUGACUGACAAAGAUGGUGGUAGAUUUCAAGAGAUUGAAGAUAUUCUGAAGAGGUGGCAAAAGAUGGGGUUGCUUUAAUAAAGAGAGGCAUCGAUCUAUAAAACAUCAUGUCCGCGUGAUCAUAACGGUGGAAGAAAAAAAAAUCACUUUUUCAAGAAUUUUGAACUAGGGUUUUCAAAAGUUAAAUAUCACUAUAAAAUAGCCAAGGGAUCAAUAGAAAAUUUACCAGACACCUAAAGUUGAUUUUAUAGAGGAAGAGUGAGAACCUCUUAAUAAGUGUUUUUGGGAUCGUAAUAAGUCAGAGGUUGAUGUAUCCGGCAAUGGAAAGACAUAAGUUAGGAUAGUUUCGAAAUAUUUCGGUAGCUAUUGUUAUGGUGUUAACAAAUCAUGUAAAAUUGAUUAAACAAGAUUGCUUAAUGCAAUUUGUAUAGUAAAAUAUAUUUUAUAAUUUUAUUAACUUUUCUUUUUAUAUUUUUCAUUAUUUUAUUGUGUUACAUCUUACAUUUAUAUAUUCAUUUUUAAUAAUCGCGAAAGUAUCACUUUAUUAAUUCAAAAAUCUUUGGACUCUACACUUUAUAUUUGCUAAAAGUUGAAUUCCUCCAUUAAAAGAUUGUUUUUCUCGUUUUUAAAUCGUGGUUUUUGUUUAUGUAGAAUUAUGUAUAAUAUUUUAUCAAGUGUAUGGUGUUGGUACGUUCAUUCCAAAGAAGUUGAACUAUGCAUUUCUAGUCAGGGGCGGUUUUGAAUUGAUGAUUGACAUCUUCUAAGAGUAUCUUAGGGUUAAAGAUUGAUCCAGUCUGCAUUUUCUGCCAACCUUCCUGAUUAAUAAAGAUAAUAGAAAACCUCGUAUAACUUUUUGUCAAACAAAAACCUCGUAUAAUUUUUUAUAUCAUCGAAUGUUUUGGGUUAUCAACUAAAAAUAGGUAAAAGUAUACAAGAUGAUUAAAUUAAACAUCUGCUAUUUUACUAAGAUGAGCCGUAAACUUAGAAAACAUAUGAGGGCGUUUGAUUAUAACAUGUUCAAUUUUUAAAGUUCACUUAGGGACAAUGUUUUUAAACCCGACCCGGACACUAAACCGGAUGACUUACUGGGUCACUGGAUCGACCGCAGGUGAACCGCAGGUUAAUAAAUUAAUUAAUUUUAUUAUAUAAUAAUAUAUUAGCAAUAAAUAUAUAAAAACUAAAGUUUAAUAUUUUCUAAAUGUUUAAAACAUAAAAUAAUAGUUUAGAUAUGUAUAUAUUUUAUGUUUAAAAAGUGUUUUUAAAUACUUAAUUUUAGCUUUUAUAUUUUUAUUUUCAUUUGACAUACAAAAUAUCAAAAAAUUGUUUAGACUAUUUAAAAAUUUGUGUAACAAAGUAAGAGUUACAACAUCUAAAAAAUCAAGAUACAAUAUUCAUAAAUAUUUAAAUAAGUGAAUAUAAUCAUUCAGUCUUUAAACUUUUAAAAGAAAACAAAUAUAUUUUGAAUGAAGAAAAUCAAAAUAGAGAUGAAGAUCUUAAAAAAUUGGAACUUGAGAUUGAAAAUCUUAAUGUCUGUCUAAUGUGAAUAAUAAAUUAAACUUCAAAUUCAAAAUAAACCAAAAAUAAAAGAUCAUUGUAAUAAAUUGUCUAUAACAGAAAUAACCUAACACCAAAUCGCAUCAACUAAUUUUGGUUCUCUCUACCAUCGUUCAUUUCAUUUUCUUCUGGUGGCAUAAUGAAAUCUUCAUCAAAAUCUAAAAAUCAAAAAUAUAAAACUGAAAAGGGAAAACCUAACUUUUUUUCGUCAGCACCGGACUUCUUAAUUGGAAACUUAGAAUAUAAAACAUAAUCUAAAAACUAAAAAAAAAAGUUAUUUAUUGGUUCAACCGGUGGUUCAACCGGUAUCGGGUUCUGGUUUUUAGUGGGUUUUGGCAAGUUUUUGCGGGUUCUAAAUAUUGAGUUUUUGCGGGUUCUAAAUAUUUAAUUUAUUAUUCACAUUAAACAUUUAAAUAUUUAUAAAUUUUAUGUCUUGAUUUUUUAGAUGUCAUAACUCUUAUCUUGUUAGACAAAAUUAUAAAUAGUCAAAAUUAUUUUUUGAUAUUUUGUAUAUCAAAUGAAAAUAAAAAUAUAGAAAUUAAAGUUAAGUAUUUUCUAAAUGUUAUUAAACAUAAAAAUAUACAUAUCCAAACUAUUAUUUUAUGUUUCUAAAAAUAUUUAGAAAAUAUUAAACUUUAGUUUCUAUAUUUUAAUUUACAUAGCUGAUAUAUUAUUAUAUAAUAAAAUUAAUUCAUUUAUUAACCCGUGGUUCGUCCGCGGUCGACCCAGUGACCUAGCGACCCGGUAAGUCGUCCGGUUCAGUGUCCGGGUCGGGUUUAAAAACAUUGUUCGGAAGAUACAAAAUAAUAAGAGAGGUGUUACACAUGUGUUUUUACAUGACUCCUUUUCAGUAUUGUGGUCCUUGCUCGCCUUUAGUUUACGGAAAGAAAGAAAUACAGUACUUUUUCCGACAAGAAAUUCAGUAAUUUGGAAAUGAACCAAUUCAUUAUGGGCCAUGCAUGGUGGAAUGAGUUAUUCUCAGUUGGAAUAUCACUGUUCGAAUUCUUAGAUUGUAAAUUCAGCUAUAUAUGGUUAGAGCAGAUAAAAUUAAUAUUUUAAGAAAACUACUAUUUAUUUAAAUUAAAAUGUUUUGAAAAUGUUAAAGAAUUUAUAACUGACAAAUACAAGAAAGGUUCUAAGAAAUAUCUCAAAAACAUAUUGUAACAAUGAACUCUUCUACGUUUCUCUAUAUAUUUUUGUAAUUAUUGAGAUACUUGAUAAGUAUUUUGCAUAGAGAUAUUCUUAGUUACCCUUGAUACUUUUUCUUCUUCUUUUUUUGCUUAAAGUUACCCUUGAUACCAGUGUUUUGAAACCCGACCCAGACCCGCGGUUGAACCGGUAAACCCGACAACCUAGAAAAAAUCCGGUUUGGGUUUUGUGAAAAACCCAAUAUUUAGAAAUCCGCAAAAACCCGCAAAAACCUACAAAAACCCAGUAGAACCCGGAAUCCGAUACCGGUUGAACCACUGGUUGAACCAAUAAAUAACUUUUACUUCUUUUUUUAAUUUUUAAUUAUGUUUUUAGAUUAUGUUUUAUAUUAUAAAUUUCCAAUUAAGAAGUUAUAUACUGACAAAAAAGGUUAGGUUUUUCCUUUUCAGUUUUAUAUUUGUGAUUUUUAGAUUUUAAUGAAGAUUUCACUAUACCAGAGAACCAAAACUAGUUGAUGUGAUUUGGUGUUAGUUUAUUUAUGUUAUUGAUAAUUUAUUAUAAUGAUUUUUUACUUUUUGGUUUAUUUUGUAUAAUUUAAUUUAUUAUUCACAUUAAACAUUUAAAUAUUUAUAAAUUUUAUGUCUUGAUUUUUUAGAUUUCAUAACUCUUAUCUUGUUAGACAAAAUUAUAAAUAGUCAAAAUUAUUUUUUGAUAUUUUGUAUAUCAAAUGAAAAUAAAAAUAUAGAAAUUAAAGUUAAGUAUUUUCUAAAUGUUAUUAAACAUAAAAAUAUACAUAUCCAAACUAUUAUUUUAUGUUUCUAAAAAUAUUUAGAAAAUAUUAAACUUUAGUUUCUAUAUUUUAAUUUACAUAGCUGAUAUAUUAUUAUAUAAUAAAAUUAAUUCAUUUAUUAACCUGCGGUUCGUCCGCGGUCGACCCAGUGACCCAGCGACCCGGUAAGUCGUCCGGUUCAGUGUCCGGGUCGGGUUUAAAAACAUUG